rnacentral:lncRNA from 1 species
GGGUCAAACUGGGAGCACUGGGAUGGACUGGGAGCGCUGGGAGUCGGGCUGGGCUCGCGUCAGAGCCGCCCGCUGCUGCUGGUGAGGGUUAAACUGGGAGCACUGGGAUGGACUGGGAGCGUACUGGUGGAUUUUGGGGUGCUGGGCUGGAUUUUGGGGCUCCCCGGUGGAUUUUGGGGGUUCCCAGGUGGAUUUUGGGGUUCCCUGACCCCGUUUUCGGGGUUCCCAGGUGGAUUUUGGGGCUCCCAGGUGGAUUUUGAGGGUUCCCAGGUGGAUUUUGGGGCUCCCCGGUGGAUUUUGAGGGUUCCCAGGUGGGUUUUGGGGCUCCCCGGUGGAUUUUGGGGGUUCCCACGUGGAUUUUGGGGUGCCCUGACCCCGUUUUCGGGGUUCCCAGGUGGAUUUUGGGGCUCCCAGGUGGAUUUUGAGGGUUCCCAGGUGGAUUUUGGGGCUCCCAGGUGGAUUUUGGGGUGCUGGGUUGGAUUUUGGGGUACCCUGACCCCAUUUUCGGGGUUCCCAGGUGGAUUUUGAGGGUUCCCAGGUGGAUUUUGGGGCUCCCCGGUGGAUUUUGGGGGUUCCCAGGUGGAUUUUGAGGGUUCCCCGGUGGGUUUUGGGGGUUCCCAGGUGGAUUUUGGGGCUCCCCGGUGGAUUUUGGGGGUUCCCAGGUGGAUUUUGGGGUGCCCUGACCCAUUUCCGGGGUUCCCAGGUGGAUUUUGGGGGUUCCCAGGUGGAUUUUGGGGCUCCCCGGUGGAUUUUGGGGUGCUGGGCUGGAUUUUGGGGUAUCCUGACCCCAUUUUCGGGGUUCCCAGGU